AUUGGACGCUUGCGGCAGGCCUAACACAUGCAAGUCGAGCGAGCGGCGGACGGGUGAGUAAUGCCUAGGCAUCUGCCUGGUAGUAGGGGAUAACAUCCGGAAACGGGCGCUAAUACCGCAUCCUAUAAGAUGUGCCCAGAUGGGAUUAGCUAGUAGGUGGGGUAACGGCGAACCUAGGCGACGAUCCAUAGCUGGUCUGAGAGGAUGACCAGCCACACUGGAACUGAGACACGGGCCAGACUCCGACGGGAGGCAGCAGUGGGGAAUAUGGCACAAGGGGCGCAAGCCUGAUGCAGACAUGCCGCGUGUGUGAAGAAGGCCUUCGGGUUGUAAAGCACUUUCAGCGGGGAGGCGUUACCCGCAGAAGAAGCACCGGCUAACUCCGUGCCAGCAGCCGCGGUAAUAC
rnacentral:rRNA from 1 species